rnacentral:rRNA from 1 species
CCUACGGGGGGCAGCAGUAAGGAAUAUUGGUCAAUGGAGGCAACUCUGAACCAGCCAUGCCGCGUGCAGGAAGACAGCCCUCUGGGUCGUAAACUGCUUUUAUUCGGGAAUAAACCUUUCUACGUGUAGGAAGCUGAAUGUACCGAAGGAAUAAGGAUCGGCUAACUCCGUGCCAGCAGCCGCGGUAAUACGGAGGAUCCAAGCGUUAUCCGGAUUUAUUGGGUUUAAAGGGUGCGUAGGCGGCUUAUUAAGUCAGGGGUGAAAGACGGUGGCUCAACCAUCGCAGUGCCCUUGAUACUGAUGAGCUUGAAUGAACUAGAGGUAGGCGGAAUGUGACAAGUAGCGGUGAAAUGCAUAGAUAUGUCACAGAACACCGAUUGCGAAGGCAGCUUACUAUGGUUUUAUUGACGCUGAGGCACGAAAGCGUGGGGAUCAAACAGGAUUAGAUACCCUUGUAGUC